AGCAGCCGCGGUAAUACGGGGGGGGCUAGCGUUAUCCAAAAUGAUUGGGCGUAAAGUGUCUAUAGGUGGUAGUUUAUUUGUUUCUUGUAAAAUUUUAGCUUCAUCGUUAAAAAUACUUGUAAAUACAUUUUAUUACUUGAGUGAAACAGGAGUUCGCAGAACUUUCUAACUAGUAGUAAAAUGCUGUGAGUUAGAUGGGAAUGCCAGUGGCGAAAGCGGCGUUCUAGGUUUUACUGACACUGAAGUGACGAAGGCUGGAACAUCGAAUCGGAUUAGAGACCCGGGCUAGUCCAAGCUGUCAAAGAUGGGUGCUAAUAUUGGGAAAUUUCUGGUAUACAGCUAACGCGUUAAGCACUCCGCCUGAGGAGUACGGUACCAUUCAGCAUUUCUGAAACUCAAAGGAAUUGACGGGGGUUUAUACAAGUGGUGGAGCAUGUGGUUUAAUGCGAUAAUACGCGCGAAAUCUUACCAAUCAUUGCAUGGAGUUUAUUUAGUUUUUAAGCAAAAAGUUGCUUGUAAUACAAACUUACACAGGUGCUGCAUGUCCGUCGUCAGCUCGUGCCGUGAGGCGUCUGGUUCAUUCCAUUCAACGGGCGAAACUCUUGUCUUACGUUGGUUAAAAAUUGCACCUCAAACUUUUGUUUGAUUUUCAAAACGUCUUGUAAGAAACGGCUGGUGAUAAAUCAGAGGAAGGUGAGAAUGAUGUCAGGCCCCUAUGGCCCUUAUAGAAUGGGCUACUCAUGUGCUACAAUGGUAACUACAAAGAGUUAUACAAUAGGGUGACUUAAAGUAAAUCUUUAAAACUUAUCGUGUCCGGAUCGCAAACUGAAACUCGUUUGCGUGAAGGCGGAAUCACAAGUAAUCGUAAAUCAUCACGUUACGGUGAAUAUGUACUUGGACCUUGCACACACCGCCCGUCAAAUGCUAGGAGUUGCUUUGGGGAAAAAUUAGAAGUGAUUAAUUUUAGAUGCAUUACUCCACGUGUGGUAAGUGUAUUUUAAAUUUAGUAGAGUUCUAAUUAUUCACAUUGUCGGUAACUGGGAUUA
rnacentral:rRNA from 1 species